rnacentral:lncRNA from 1 species
UGGUUGCUAAGGUAGGAUAUAGUAUGAUGUGCUUUUGUGAUUAGGAUUUCUUAGAUGUGGAUUGCAAUAUUGUAGAGGUGACGAUUCUAAGUUUUAAAUCAUGUGAGUCCCUGCUGUUUUUAAAACCUCUUUCAGAGAGACUGCUUGUUUGUUUUGCGUGAGGACAAGCAAAAGGGUAAGUCUAGGAAAGUUGAUAGACUAUGGAUUUG